CAAAACCUCCAGAGAAAGGCGAGCCCAGGGCUCGGAGGGGAGAUCGGGAAACCCCGCCCUCCGAUCUUGGGGUGAGGAAUUGGCAACCUAAACCGGAACCUUAGACUUGGGGCGCGCUUCCAGCCCUUGGCCAAUGAAAGAUAUUUGAGGGUUUAGGAUUAAGAGCUCCUCUCACCCCAAUCCCUAAGGUCCGGCGAGGGUGUGCCCAUAGCCCCUCACGGGGCGCGCCUCCCCGCCCCCCCAGGCCACCCUCCCGGCCCCCAGCCCACGUCGCUGCCCCUUUAAGAAUCCCAGGUAGGCAGGCCCGGCUGCGGGAGCCGCUCCUAUGGCAACCCGUGAGCUGCGGCGGCUUCAUGAAUAUUCCGGGGCGCGGGAGCUGAGCGCUGCCGGAGGGCGCUCUGGGGGAGGCGGCCACUGAUGUAAGCCCGGCGGGCCGCUGGGCUCCGUUCGGUUGCGGCGGGAGCCCCGGGACGGGCCGGCCGGCCUCGGCCAAAGGAGGCGAGGAGAGCUCGAGAGUGGUUGGCCACAAAGCCAGGGCGGCGGGACAGACUGACAGCCCGACUGCCCGCGGGACGCACGCCCGGGAGGCGCGCGGGGCUGUGCGCUCUGCGCUCCAGAGCAGUUCUCCCGGCGCCGCGGCCCAAGCACCGCUUCUCCCCGCGCCCAUUGUUCCCCGCGGGGGCGGGGCGCCUGGAGCCCAGCCGCGCGCCGCGCCCCUGAACGCAGGAGGGAGGAAGAGAGAAAGGGAGGGAGCGCGGGGUCCCCGCGCCCAGCUUGGCUCGGGAGGAGGCGCCGUGCGGCAAGCCUGGGCACCCGGAGCGGGACUGGGAGCCUCCCCGCGCGGCACGCAGCCUGCCGGAGCAUGGGCGCCUGAGGCGGCCCGGCGCCGGCUGCGAAGGACGCGUCCCCGCGGGCGGACGGACCGGCUGGCGGACCUGGGGCCGGUCCGCGGCGCCGCACCCGUGCCCCUGCCCCGGUCCCGGCCCCCGCCCCUAGCACCAUGGACAAGCUGCCGCCGUCUAUGCGCAAGCGGCUCUACAGCCUUCCGCAGCAGGUGGGGGCCAAGGCGUGGAUCAUGGACGAGGAAGAGGACGCCGAAGAGGAGGGGGCCGGGGGCCGCCAGGACCCCAGCCGCAGGAGCAUCAGGCUGCGGCCGCUGCCCUCGCCCUCGCCCUCGGCGGCCGCGGGCGGCACGGAGUCCCGGUGCGCGGCCCUCGGGGCGGGGGACGGCGAGGGGCCCGCCCGCGGCGCGGGCAAGUCCAGCACGAACGGCGACUGCAGGCGCUUCCGCGGGAGCCUGGCCUCGCUGGGCAGCCGGAGCGGCGGCGGAGCGGGGGGCGGCAGCAGUCACGGGCACCUGCAUGACUCCGCGGAGGAGCGGCGGCUCAUUGCCGAGGGCGACGCGUCCCCCGGCGAGGACAGGACGCCCCUGGGCCUGGCAGGCGAGCCCGAGCGCCCCUACGCCUCGGCGCAGCCCGCAGCCUCGCCGCCGCCGCCCCAGCAGUCCGCGCAGUCGGCCUCCGCCUCCUGCGAGCAGCCCUCGGUGGACACAGCUAUCAAAGUGGAGGGAGGCGCGGCCGCCGGCGACCAGAUCCUCCCCGAGGCCGAGGUGCGCCUGGGCCAGGCCGGUUUCAUGCAGCGCCAGUUCGGGGCCAUGCUCCAGCCCGGGGUCAACAAAUUCUCCCUGAGGAUGUUCGGCAGCCAGAAAGCCGUGGAGCGCGAGCAGGAGAGGGUCAAGUCGGCCGGAUUUUGGAUUAUCCACCCCUACAGCGACUUCAGAUUCUACUGGGACCUGACCAUGCUGCUGCUGAUGGUGGGGAACCUGAUCAUCAUCCCUGUGGGCAUCACCUUCUUCAAAGAUGAGAACACCACACCCUGGAUUGUCUUCAAUGUGGUGUCAGACACGUUCUUCCUCAUCGACUUGGUCCUCAACUUCCGCACAGGGAUCGUGGUGGAGGACAACACAGAGAUCAUCCUGGACCCGCAGCGGAUUAAGAUGAAGUACCUCAAAAGCUGGUUCGUGGUGGAUUUCAUCUCUUCCAUCCCCGUGGACUACAUCUUCCUCAUUGUGGAGACACGCAUUGACUCGGAGGUCUACAAGACAGCCCGGGCUCUGCGCAUCGUCCGCUUCACCAAGAUCCUCAGCCUCCUGCGCCUCCUGCGUCUCUCCCGCCUCAUUCGAUACAUUCACCAGUGGGAAGAGAUCUUCCACAUGACCUACGACCUGGCCAGCGCCGUGGUGCGCAUCGUGAACCUCAUCGGCAUGAUGUUGCUGCUGUGCCACUGGGACGGCUGCCUGCAGUUCCUGGUGCCCAUGCUGCAGGACUUCCCUGACGACUGCUGGGUGUCCAUCAACAACAUGGUGAACAACUCCUGGGGAAAGCAGUACUCCUACGCCCUGUUCAAGGCCAUGAGCCACAUGCUAUGCAUCGGGUACGGACGGCAGGCGCCCGUGGGCAUGUCCGACGUCUGGCUCACUAUGCUCAGCAUGAUCGUGGGCGCCACCUGCUAUGCCAUGUUCAUCGGCCACGCCACUGCCCUCAUCCAGUCCCUGGACUCCUCCCGGCGCCAGUACCAGGAGAAGUACAAGCAGGUGGAGCAGUACAUGUCCUUCCACAAGCUCCCGCCCGACACGCGGCAGCGCAUCCACGACUACUACGAGCACCGCUACCAGGGCAAGAUGUUCGACGAGGAGAGCAUCCUGGGAGAGCUGAGCGAGCCGCUGCGGGAGGAGAUCAUCAACUUUAACUGCCGGAAGCUGGUGGCCUCCAUGCCGCUGUUCGCGAACGCAGACCCCAACUUCGUGACAUCCAUGCUGACCAAGCUGCGCUUCGAGGUCUUCCAGCCCGGCGACUACAUCAUCCGCGAAGGCACCAUCGGCAAGAAGAUGUACUUCAUCCAGCACGGCGUGGUCAGCGUGCUCACCAAGGGCAACAAAGAGACCAAGCUGGCGGAUGGAUCCUACUUCGGAGAGAUCUGCCUGCUGACGCGGGGUCGGCGCACGGCCAGCGUGCGGGCUGACACCUACUGCCGCCUGUAUUCGCUGAGCGUGGACAACUUCAAUGAGGUGCUGGAGGAGUACCCCAUGAUGCGGAGGGCCUUCGAGACGGUGGCGCUGGACCGCCUGGACCGCAUCGGCAAGAAGAACUCCAUUCUCCUUCACAAAGUCCAGCACGAUCUCAACUCAGGCGUCUUCAACUACCAGGAGAACGAGAUCAUCCAGCAGAUUGUGCAGCAUGACCGAGAGAUGGCCCACUGUGCGCACCGUGUCCAGGCUGCCGCCUCGGCCACCCCAACCCCCACACCUGUCAUCUGGACCCCGCUGAUCCAGGCGCCGCUGCAGGCCGCCGCCGCCACCACUUCUGUGGCCAUAGCCCUCACCCACCACCCACGCCUGCCCGCUGCCAUCUUCCGCCCUCCCCCGGGCCCUGGGCUCGGCAGCCUCGGAGCGGGGCAGACACCCCGGCACCUGAAGCGGCUGCAAUCCCUGAUCCCUUCUGCACUGGGCUCCGCCUCACCCGCCAGCAGCCCAUCUCAGGUGGACACGCCGUCGUCUUCCUCCUUCCACAUCCAACAGCUGGCGGGAUUCUCCGCCCCCGCCGGACUGAGCCCUCUCCUACCUUCGUCCAGCUCUUCCCCACCGCCCGGGGUCUCUGGCUCCUCUCCAGCUCCCACACCGUCCACCAGCGCAGCUGGCAUUGCCACAGCCGGUUUUGGCCACUUCCACAAGGCACUGGGCAGCUCCCUGUCCUCUUCUGACUCACCCCUGCUCACCCCGCUGCAGCCGGGUGCCCGCUCCCCCCAGGCUAACCAGCCUCCUCCCCUACUGCCGGGGGCCCGGGGAGGCCUGGGACUCCUGGAGCACUUCCUGCCACCCCCACCCUCAUCCAGGUCCCCAUCGUCUAGUCCGGGGCAACUGGGCCAGCCUCCCGGGGAGUUGUCCCCAGGUCUGGCUGCUGGCCCAUCAAGUACGCCAGAGACACCUCCACGGCAGCCUGAGCGGCCAUCUGUCGCUGGGGCCUCUGGGGGGGCUUCUCCUAUAGCCUUUACCCCCCGAGGAGGUUUCAGCCCCCCUGGCCACAGCCCAGGCCCCCCAAGAACUUUCCCAAGUGCCCCGCCCCGGGCCUCUGGUUCCCAUGGUUCCUUGCUCCUGCCAUCUGUAUCCAGCCCCCCACCACCCCAGGUUCCCCAGCACCGGGGCACACCACCCCUCACCCCAGGCCGCCUCACCCAGGACCUCAAGCUCAUCUCAGCCUCUCAACCGGCCCUACCCCAGGACGGGGCACAGACUCUCCGCAGAGCCUCCCCACACUCUUCUGGGGAGUCUGUGGCUGCCUUUCCGCUCUUCCCCAGAGCCGGAGGUGGCAGCGGGAGCAGCGGUGGCCUCGGUCCCCCCGGGAGGCCCUAUGGUGCCAGCCCUGGCCAGCAUGUCACUCUGCCUCGGAAGACAUCCUCAGGUUCUUUGCCACCCCCUCCUUUCUUUGGGGCAAGAGCCACCUCUUCUGGGGGCCCUCCUCUGACUGCUGCUCCCCAGAGGGAACCUGGGGCCAGGUCUGAGCCAGUGCGCUCCAAACUGCCGUCCAAUCUAUGAGCUGGGGCCCCUCCCUCUUUUCUCCUUUUUUUCUCCUUUCUCCCUUCAGGUUUAACUGUGAUUAGGAGAUAUACCAGUAACAAUAAUAAUUAUCAUUAAAAAAACUCACUCCAGAAAAACAAAAGACAGCAGAAAAUAACCAGGUAUUCUUAGAGCUCUAGAUUUUUGGUCACUUGCUUUUAUAGACUAUUUUAAUACUCAGCACUGGGGGGUGGGGGGAGGGGGCAGGCAGGGCCCAAAUUCAAAAGCUGGAGGAAAGCGGGAUUGCUGGGGCUUGGCAGGGGUGGGGGUGACCCGUGUUUGGGGUUCCUAGAGCAGAGCUGUCGUUGUAUUCGUUUUAGAGCACUAGCCACCAGCAGCCCCUUAGUGUGAACUUGGCACCCCACUCUGCAGGGGGUUACCUUGUUCCCCAGGGAAGGGGCUGCCCUUGGGUGUAUUCCUGGGAACGCUCAGUUACCUGAGUCCUUGGAGCAAAGUGGGGCCAGGGCCCUGAGAAUCUUGAUUUUUCUUUUCUUUCUUUCUUUUUUUUUUUUUACUGCAAAUGUAGCAAGAUAUGUAUAUGUAUAUGUAUAUGUAUGUAACAUUGUAUAUGUAUAGCUAUGUAGUGCUCUGUAGAGCCUUGUAGAUAGCCAUUGACCUAUGUGCACAUGUGUGUGCAAUCUAGUUUAACCCCAUGUUGCCAGGACACCCAGGUCACCUUACAUCUAGCAGCCCGCCUUGGCCCGAAAGCUGGGCACUGCAGGCUCUGGGGGAAGUAUUCUUUCCAGUCCUCAGGGAAGAGGACCCCAGAACCUCUCAGCAGGCCCCCUCUCCCUAUCUUUGGUCUCAGAUCCAAUCCUAGCCCAGCCUCUCAGCACACGGAAGCAGAAGACUGGGCUGUGCCUCUCCUUCCCUGUAGGUCCUCAAGCAUAUCCUGUCACCUCUGUCUGUACAGUGGGAGGUGAAGGCAACUUCUAGUUAUUUCUGCUCUGUGCCAAGCACUGGUUUAGCACUUUACACACGUUAACUUCUUCAAUUUCAUAAAAACCAUGAGGUAGGUACUUUGAUUCUCCCUGUUUCACAGAUGAAGAAACUGAGUUUUGGAUAAUUUUUCCAGAAUCACGUAAUUAGGCGUGGUAGAGCUGGGAUAGAUCUGAUUCAAAUUCAUGUCUGCCUGAGGCUGAAGCCUAGAUUCCUUCUGUUAGAAAACUGUGUGGAGAGAGUCUGAGCUAGACUGUCCCGAAGCAUGGUGCAGAAGCAAGAGACCAGAUUUUGGAGGCAAUGAGACCUGGGUUCAAAUCCCAGCCCUGCCACUUAGCUGUGUGACCUUGGGCAAGUUACCUGACCUUUCUGAGUCUGUUACCUCAUGCGUAAAUUGGGAACAAUUAUGGUGCCUCCUCAUGAGGACCAGAUGAGAAAAGUAGUGUAUGUGAAAUGCCCAGCCCAGCGCCUGGCACAUGCCAUAGUAGGUGCUCAAUAAACCAUAUUUCUUCUGCCCCUCCACAUGCCACGUGCCCAGCCCAUUGCUCCAGCAAGCUGUGGUGAGAGCCCGGGGAGCUUUGGCUGAGGGCUCCAGGACUUUCGAUCUCAGGACAUGGGAGGUAGCUGGGCCUCCCGAAGGGCCUAAGAAAGGGAACUAGGAGCCAGAGGCAGGCGCAGAGUGGGGGUCGUUGUGAAGCAGCCCAGAUGCCUCCUGAAGCACAACCCUUCCCAACGAGAUCCUACCAGAGCCAAGGGUUUCCACAGGCCCUGAGACCUUGCAGGCAGGGGACAGGCAGCGAUCUGUGGCUGGAAAAGCGAAGUCCCCGAGGUUCCCGGCAGUGCCUGCCUGCCUGCUGGAGGGGAAAGUCCUCAGAAAGGGCAGGGAACCCGGUCCCCAUCACUGAUUGCUGAGUGGAUGCUGUUUCCAUGGUAACCAGCCUGGGAGUCCCGUUGUUAAGGAGGCAGCUCCGCAGGCUCAGUGUCCCCAUGACAACUGCCCCCUGCGGCCAAGUCAGUGGUGCUUCUUGGGGACCAGGGAGAGGGCAGGGGCUGAGGUCAGGCCGGGCUUCUGGGGAUCUGGGGAGGCCCUUACAGACAGACAGUGUGCUGAAGCAGCGGGUGGAAGGGAUUGCUGGGGGCCCAGCCACACCCAUGGGGUGGAUCUGAGCCAGUGCUGAGGAGACCCACCCCACCGGCCACCCUGCCCACCCCCUGGACCCACCUCAGGCAUGUGCACAGGGCCACGCUCCUGGGGCGAGGGGCAGGGGCAACACCAGUCACUGCCUUCUCUGUUCUCUGUCCCAAAGUACCCUUAAUAAGCAACUACUGUGUGCUCCGCUCUGUGCUUUCCUAUCUCCUUCCAUCCUCAACAGCAAUCCUGAUGGGGUGAGAAUUAGCCUCAAGUCCAGUGUACAAAGGGCACUGAGGCUCAGAGAGGGUAAGGAACUCGCGCCAGACCAGUCAGCGAGAAAGCGAAGGAGCAGGAACGCACACCCAGGUCCUGGAGACAGACCUGGUCCCUUCCCACCGGUGGCACGGAAGGCCGGUGGUAGGAGCAGCGUCUCGGUGCAGGCAAGAAAGGGUGCGCUGUCCGCAGAGAAUUUAAAAACAAGGAUGAACAGGACAAAGUGUCAAGUUUGCUUUCUCUUUUCUUUCACCAUCACUGUCGAUCAGCAAUUCUGAACAAGUCAGUGAUAAAAUACUCCCUCCCCCACAGCGGACAGCGCCCCGCCCCCAAUGCCACUGCACCCCAAGCUUCAGCCCCGAAAGACACCUGCUGUGGGUGCCAGUGGGUGGGAAGGCCCGAGGCACCCUUCUUAGUGGGGCUAAACCAGAUUAGGGUUUUUAAAAAAACGUUUUAAAAGUUGAAUGAAAUCCCUCCUGUGACUCCAUGUCUUUUCCCAGCGGCUGCUCAUCUUCUCAGCCAAACUUCUUGAGGGGUAUCUCCACUCCGGGCCCGUUUCCCUUCCUCUGAGCCACUUGUUCCUCCACUGCAGUCCGGCUCCUGACUCCUCUCCACGAUAGGGCUCUAGACAAGGUCGGUGCUCCUGGGCCUCUGGCUUUGGCCUCCAGCUCCUCACUACACACACACUUCCUGGAAAUACCUGUGCCCGUGGCUUCCUGGCCUGGAGGGAAUGCUCCCAGAGUUCCCCCUCAAUUCAGGACCCCACAUCCCUGAGCUGCAGCCUGGGCGCCUGCUGCCUCCGCCACGCAGUUCCACACCCUUUUUUGAUCCACCACGGCAUUUUUAUUCUUUGUAGAGUUUGCAUCUCCCGACGCACUACAGAGCAUGUCCUCUCCAGCCACCACCCACGCUGGAUCCACUCAGCCAUGCGCACAGGGCCUCCCUCCUCCCCUGGGGCUGGGGCAACACCAGUCAACCCCUCGCUGAUUUUGCUACUUCAGCUUUCUUCCUUUUGACGGUAGAAUAUUUCAUACACAUGGAAGAAAAAAUAAAUAAACCCCUAAUAAAUACAUAAAUAAAUAUAUAAUGCUUCUUGACUUACGAUGGGAUUAUGUCCUGAUAAACACAUUGUAAGGUGAACAUACCUUGAGUGGAAAAUGCAUUUAAUCCACUAAUCUACUGACGAACAUCAUAGCCUAGCCUAGCAUACCUUAAAGGGCUCAGAACACUUAUAUUAGCUGACGGUGGAGGCCCAGUGUCAUACCACAAAUCGCUAGCCGGAGGAAAGAUGAAAAUUCAAAACUCAAAAUACGGUUUCUACUAAAUACAUAUCACUUUCGCACCAUCGUUAAGUCAAAAAAUCCUAAGUCGAACUGUCCUAAGUUGCAGGCCAUCUGUAUAUAAAUAAGGUAUUAAAAAUAUGAUUAAUAAUCACUCAUUUAAAAAUAGAACAUACGGAAUACCUUUGAAGGCAUUUGUGCCAGUUCCCAACUAUACCCCUCUCCUCUCCCCAGGGGAAACCUCUCAUCUGAACUUUAAUUCUAUCAUUGCCUUACUUCUGAUAUUUUACUACCGAAAUGUCUCUACACAGCAUGUUCAGUGGUGUACCAGAAUGGGAGCUUGGGGCUGGGCCGAGUUACUUUUGUGGGGAGGAGGAUUUUGUCGGUAAUAUUGUUCAGAAUUGCUGACACAUGGUGAUAAUAAAAAGCAGACUGAGUUUCAGUCCAUUUUAUUAUUGUUUAAAUUUCUUUACAAAUAAUGCACCUUUUCAUGGCCUGCGCCAGAGGCGGCCAUGCGCCGUUCACUUAAACACCAUUGCAUAUAUUUGUAAAAGUGUGCACUUUAUGUAAGUGGUAUCAUGCUGUAUGUUUCCUUUAGUCAUUUGCUUUUUUUGUUUAGUAUUGUAAUUUUGAGACCCUGUUGAUGCAUGGAGCAUAGCGGUCUCAUUGCCACGGCUGCAUAGCAUUCCAGUAUAGGACUAUGCCACCAUCCACACGUCUUGUUUGGAGGUAGAUAGUAUUUUGGUCAGUUUCAGCUCUUGCAGUUACAAACAGUUAUUACAACGUUUUUGUUUGUGGCUCUUGAGAAAGAUGCGUAAAAGGAUUCCUAGAUGCUGCAUCUAGGAGUGGAAUAACUGAGUCAUAGGGUAAAUUAAUCUUCACUUUACAAGAUAAUGCCAAGCUGUUUUAAGUAGUCCUACUAUUUAUACUCCCACCCAGAGUGUAUUCGAGUUACUCUUGGUCCUCAUUCUUGCCAAUAAUUGGAAUCAUCAGGUUUUAUUAUUUUCCCCAAUUGAGUGAUAUCUAAUUGUGUUUUAAUGUACAAGUUCCUAAUUACUAGUAAGUUUGACUAUUUUCUUGUAUAUUCAUUUGCCAUUUAUGCUCCCUCUUUUGCGAAAAUUUUUGUGUGUGUAAUUUGCCUGAUUUCCUCGUCUUUUUAUUGAUUCACAGGAAUUUUACACAUACACACACACACGCGCGCGUACACAUGUACACACGUGUUGCAAAUGUCUUCUUCCCGUUUAUGGCUUGUAUUUUCACUUUUAUUUUGGUGUUCCUUGCUGAACAGAAGUUUUACAUUUUAGUGAGGUCAAGUUUAGCAAUACUUAAAAAAAUGGCUAGUACUUAUUUAGUGCCUUUUUUGCUGGUUUAAUAAACCUAUUUUACUCUGAUGUUAUAAAGAUAUUCUUCUAUAUUAAUUUCUAAAAAUGUGAAGUGUUGUUUUUCAUAUUUAAGUCCUUGACCUGACCUUGACUUUGGGUAUGGUGUCAGGGAUAGUUCAACUCCAUAUGAACAACCAAUUGUUCCUGCUUAUUUACAAUAUCCCUUAUAUGUCAUAUUUGGGUCUUUGUUGAGAGUCUCUGUUCAGUCUAUCAGCUUGUCUAUUCAUGUUCAAACAGUACACUUAGCUACUACAGCUUUAUAAAGUAUGUUACUAUCUAGUAAAGUAAGUCCUCCCACCCACAUCUUCUUAAGGAAUGUCUUGGCUGUUCUAGUGUCUUUGUGCUACCAUAUACACUGUGCAGUCAGUUUGUUAAUAUGCAUGAAGAAUUCGACGGGUUUCUGAUUUGAAAUUACACCAACACUAUUAUUAAAAUUUGUAUUCCUAUGGAUGAAAAGGGUAUAACUCUCCCCGCAUCUGGGUCUUCUUUAAUGUCUUUUGUAUUAGUCCAGGUAAUUAGUACUAGCUGCCCAACAGAAAAAGCCCAAAUUUUCAAUUGUUUAACACAGUGAGGCUUUAUUCCAGCUCAGGCAAAGUCCCCUGCAGGCCAGGCAGUCACUCUCCAUACUGAUAUCAGCUUGGACCCCUGGUCUCCAAGGAGACUAAGGGAGAAGGGAUGACUGGGAGACACGACUAAUUAUGAAUGACUUCUCUCCAGUGAUAACACAUUUCAAUUCUUUUCAUGUACUAUUGUCACUGGGCCACAAUGUAGCUGCAAAGGAGGCUGUGAUGUGUCGGCAAGAACACGGAGUAUUUGCUGGGCAUGAACCAUCUCGGCCAAAUCUUUUGCAUCGCUUUGUACUUUUCCUCAUUGAGUUUUGUACAUUUUGUUAGAUUUAUUCCCAGUAUAACAAAAUUCACCCAUUUUCAGCGUACAGUUCAAUGAGUUUUGAUAAAGGUACACAGCCCUAUAACCACCUCCGCAAUUAAGGAAUAGAAUAUUUCCAUCACUCCCCCAAAUUCUCCCAUGUCCCUGUGCAGUCAGUCCCCUCCUCCUGUUCCUCACCCCGGGCAGCCUGCUUUUUGCCAGAGAAGUUCUGCUGUUUCUAGAAUUUCAUGUAAAUGGAAUCGUACAGAAUGCUAUCUCUUAGGUCUGAUUUCUUUCAUUUAGUACAAUGCUUUUAAGAUCUGUCUGUAUUGUUUUGUGUAUCCUUGUAAGGAUAUGUCACAGUUUAUUCAUUCACCCACUGAUGAACAAUUGGGCAGUUCCCAGCGUUGGCUGUUAAGAAUAAAGCUCCUAUAAACAUUCAUGUUCAGGUCUUCAUGUGGACAUGUAUUUUCAUUUAUCUUGGGUACUAUCCAGGAGUGGCACUGUUGGGUCAUCUGGUAAGUAUAUGUUUAACUUUAUAAGAAACUGCCAGAUAAUUUCCCAAGGCUGGAAGACUGUUUUGCAUUCCCACCAGUAUUGUAUGAGAGCUCCAGUUACUGCAUAUCCUUGUAACUUUAGAUAUUGUCUGUCUUAUCUUUACCAUUCAAGAGGGUGUAUAAUGUUAACUCUGGUUUAAUUUGCAUUUACAUAUUGACUAAAGAUGCUGAGCAUAUUUUCGGGUAUUUAUUUGUUGAAGUGACUGUUCAAAUGUUUACCCAUUU